UAAUUGGACUCUCGGCGGAGAUCC
rnacentral:siRNA from 1 species